rnacentral:rRNA from 1 species
UACGGGGGGAGCAAGCGUCGUUCGGAUUUACUGGGCGUAAAGGGCGCGUAGGCGGCCAGUGCAAGUCAGUUGUGAAAUCUCCGGGCUUAACUCGGAAAGGUCAACUGAUACUGCUCGGCUAGAGUGCGGAAGGGGCAACUGGAAUUCUUGGUGUAGCGGUGAAAUGCGUAGAUAUCAAGAGGAACACCUGCGGCGAAGGCGGGUUGCUGGGCCGACACUGACGCUGAUGCGCGAAAGCUAGGGGAGCGAACGGG